UACGUAGGGGGCUAGCGUUGUCCGGAAUCAUUGGGCGUAAAGAGCGUGUAGGCGGCCCGGUAAGUCCGCUGUGAAAGUCGGGGGCUCAACCCUCGAAUGCCGGUGGAUACUGUCGGGCUAGAGUGCGGAAGAGGCGAGUGGAAUUCCUGGUGUAGCGGUGGAAUGCGCAGAUAUCAGGAGGAACACCUAUGGCGAAGGCAGCACUCUGGUACAUGAUUGACGCUGAGACGCGAAAGCGUGGGGAGCAAACAGG
rnacentral:rRNA from 1 species